UACGGGGGGGGCAAGCGUUGUUCGGAAUUACUGGGCGUAAAGCGUGCGCAGGCGGUUGGUUAAGUCUGAUGUGAAAGCCCCGGGCUCAACCUGGGAAUGGCAUUGGAAACUGGCUGGCUAGAGUGUGGCAGAGGGGGGUGGAAUUCCGCGUGUAGCAGUGAAAUGCGUAGAGAUGCGGAGGAACACCGAUGGCGAAGGCAGCCCCCUGGGCUGACACUGACGCUCAGGCACGAAAGCGUGGGGAGCAAACAGG
rnacentral:rRNA from 1 species